GCGGCCGUAGCUCAGUUGGUAGAGCAUCAGCUUCCCAAGCUGAGGGUCGCGGGUUCGAGUCCCGUCGGCCGCU
rnacentral:tRNA from 2 species